GAUGAACGCUGGCGGCGUGCCUAAUACAUGCAAGUCGAGCGAACAGACGAGGAGCUUGCUCCUCUGACGUUAGCGGCGGACGGGUGAGUAACACGUGGAUAACCUACCUAUAAGACUGGGAUAACUUCGGGAAACCGGAGCUAAUACCGGAUAAUAUAUUGAACCGCAUGGUUCAAUAGUGAAAGACGGUUUUGCUGUCACUUAUAGAUGGAUCCGCGCCGCAUUAGCUAGUUGGUAAGGUAACGGCUUACCAAGGCAACGAUGCGUAGCCGACCUGAGAGGGUGAUCGGCCACACUGGAACUGAGACACGGUCCAGACUCCUACGGGAGGCAGCAGUAGGGAAUCUUCCGCAAUGGGCGAAAGCCUGACGGAGCCACGCCGCGUGAGUGAUGAAGGUCUUCGGAUCGUAAAACUCUGUUAUUAGGGAAGAACAAAUGUGUAAGUAACUAUGCCCGUCUUGACGGUACCUAAUCAGAAAGCCCCGGCUAACUACGUG
rnacentral:rRNA from 1 species